rnacentral:lncRNA from 1 species
GGUUGUAGGGUUGGGUGGUUGUAGGGUGGGGUAGUUGUAGGGUUGUAGGAGGGGUUGGUUGUGGGGUUGGAGGGUUGUAGGGUGGGGUGGUUGUAGGGUUGGGGGGUGGAGGGGAGGAUGGCUGUAGGGUUGUAGGGUUGGGUGGUUGUAGGGUAUGAAGGUUGUGGGGUUAUAGGGUUGUAGGGUUGUAGGAGUGGUCGGUUGUGGGGUUGGAGGGUUGUAGGGUGGGGUGGUUGGAGGGUUGUAGGGUUGUGGGGUUAUAGGGUUAUAGGGUUGGGUGGAUGGGAAAAAAAGGGGAGAAAAUGGGAACAUUUGGGGAAAGAAGUGGGAAAAUUUGGGGGAAAAAUGGGGGAAAAUGAGAGAAUUUGGGGGAAAAUUGAGAAAAUUUGGGGAAAAUUUGGGAAAAUGGGGAAAAAGUGGUAAAAUUAUGCGUAAAAUUUAGGAAAAUUUGGGGUAAAAACGGGGGAAAAUGGGAACAUUUUGGGAAAGAAAUGGGAAAAAUUGGGGGAAAAAUGGGGGAAAAUGAGAGAAUUCGGGGGAAAUCUGAGAAAAAUUGGGGAAAAAAAUGGGAAAAUGGGGAAAAAGUGGUAAAAUUAUGCGUAAAAUUUAGGAAAAUUUGGGGUAAAAACGGGGGAAAAUGGGAACAUUUGGGGAAAAUUGGGAAAAUUUGGGGGAAAAUGGGGGAAAAUGAGAAAAUUUGGGGGAAAUUUGAGAAAAUUUGGGGGAAAAAUGGGAAAAUGGAGAAAAAUUGGUAAAAUUAUGCGUAAAAUUUUGGAAAAUUUGGGGGAAAAUGGGGGAAAAUGGGAACAUUUUGGGAAAGAAAUGGGAAAAUUUGGGGGAAAAUGGGAACAUUUUGGGGAAAGAAGUGGGAAAAUUUGGGGGAAAAAUGGGGGAAAAUGAGAGAAUUUGGGGGAAAUUUGAGAAAAUUUGGGGGAAAUUUGGGAAAAUUCGGGGAAAAUUUGGGAAAAUGGGGAAAAAGUGGUAAAAUUAUGCGUAAAAUUUAGGAAAAUUUGGGGUAAAAAUGGGGAAAAUUUGGAACAUUUUGGGCAAAAUGGAGAAAAAAUGGGGAAUAACUGCAAAAUUUGGGGCAAUUUGGGGGGAUUUUGGGGUCCGGGGGGGCAUUUUCUGAUGCUGUCUUUCCGUCUGUCCCCUCCCCCCCCCCCCCCCACUUCCGGUGCCAGGGGCGGAAGUGGAGGGGGCGCUGUGCACGGAUGAGGAAGAGGAGGAGGGGCUGUGGGGAACCAUCGCCAUCUUUGUGGCUCUGUUCCUCCUCAGCGUCUGCUACAGCGCCACCGUCACCUUCUUCAAGGUGAAGUGGCUCUUCUCCACCGUGAGACAUCCAGUCUCACACUGGGUUGACCCCAUGGCAGCCAUCUUGACUAAGGGUGGCAGCCAUCUUGUCCCACUGCAUUGACCCCCACCCGUUGGCGGCCAUCUUGGCUAAGGCCAGCAAACAUCAGCCAUCUUGGCUGAGGGCGGCAGCCAUCUUAUCUCAAUGCGUCGUCCCCCCUGGCGGCCAUAUUGACUAAGGGUAGCAGCCAUCUUGUCUGAGUGCGUUGACCCCCACCCCUUGGUAGCCAUCUUGGCUGAGGGCAGUGACCAUCGGCCAUCUUGGCUGAGGACGGCAGCCAUCUUAUCUCAAUACGUCGACCCCCCCCCCCCCACCUCCCCGGCCUCGGCGGCCAUCUUGGCUGAGGCCGGCGGCCAUCUUGCCCCAAUGCGUCGACCCCCCCCCCCCCUCCCCGGCCUCGGCGGCCAUCUUGGCUGAGGCCGGCGGCCAUCUUGUCCCCUCCCCACAG